GCAGUAUUGCUACAGGUGAGUCAAGUGCUGAAACUUGAGCAAAGGAUAACUAGUCCUUGAAGCUGUUGAACCAACAGUGGAUUAACAAUUUUCAUUUUACAGUUCAGUGUUCAAAAUAUUUACUCAAGGAUAAGACUCUUUUCUUCACCACUUGACACUUUCCACAAUGGAGUGGAGAGCUUUUGUUAUAAUAUGGAUUUUUAUCUCAAUAGCCAAGUCGCAAACAACUACCAUUUCAACUACCUAUGAGAGUACAACUCUUAGUACAGUUGAAAUAUCAACACCAACACUGCAACCAUCCACAAACACAAUAUCUCCUGAUGAAACAUCCACCACUAGUGCACUAGAAACAUCUACAAUAACAGAGACUUCCACAAUCAAAACUCCUUAUGAAACAUCCACCACUAGUGCACCAGAAACAUCUACAACAACAGAGACUUCCACAAUCAUGACUCUUGCUGAAACAUCCAUCACUAGUACAAUAGAAAUAUCUACAACAACAGAGACUUCCACAAUGACGACUCCUGAUGAAACAUCCACCACUAGUUUAGCAGAAACAUCUACAACAACAGAGACUUACACAAUCACAACUCCUGAUGAAACAUUUACAACAACAGAGACUUCCACAAUCAUGACUCCUGCUGAAACAUCCACCACUAGUUUAGCAGAAACGUCUACAAAAACACAGACUUUCACAAUCACAACACCUGAUGAAACAUCCACCACUAGUUUAGUAGAAAAAUCUACAAUGAUAGAGACUUCCACAAUCACAACUCCUGAUGAAGCGUCCACCACUAGUGGAGUAGAAACAUUUACAACAACAGAGACUUUCACAAUCAUGACUCCAGAUAAAACAUCCACCACUAGUGCACCGGAAACAUCUACAACAACAGAGACUUCCACAAUCACGACUCUUGCUGAAACAUCCAUCACUAGUACACAGGAAACAUCUACAUCAACAGAGAGUUCCACAAUCACGAUUCCUGCGGAAACAUCUACAACAACAGAGGCUUCUACAAUCAUAACUCCUGAUGAAACAUUCACCACUAGUGCACCAGAAACAUCUACAACAACAGAGACUUCAACAAUGACAACUCCUGAUGAAACAUCCACCACUAGUGCACCAGAAACAUCUACAACAACAGAGACUUCCACAAUGACGACUCCUGAUAAAACAUCCACCACUAGUUUAACAGAAACAUCUACAACAACACAGACUUCCACAAUCACAACUCCUGCUGAAACAUUUACAACAACAGAGACUUCCACAAUCAUGACACCUGCUGAAACAUCCACCACUAGUUUAGCAGAAACAUCUACAAAAACACAGACUUUCACAAUCACGACACCUGAUAAAACAUCCACCACUAGUACACCGGAAACAUCUACAUCAACAGAGACUUCCACAAUCACGACUCCUGCGGAAACAUCUACAACAAGUGCAGCAGAAACACCUACAACAACAGAGACUUCCACAAUCAUGACUCCUGAUGAAACAUCCACCACUAGUGCACCAGAAAAAUCUACAACAUCAGAGACUUCCACAAUCACAACUCCUGAUGAAACAUCCACUACUAUUGCAGCAGAACCAUCAACAACAGAGACUUCCACAAUCAUGACACCAGAUAAAACAUCCACCACUAGUGCAAUAGAAAUAUCUACAAUAAAAGAGACUUCCACAAUGACGACUCCUGAUGAAACAUCCACCACUAGUUUAGCAGAAACAUCUAUUACAACAGAGACUUCCACAAUCACCACUCCUGAUGAAACAUCCACUACUAGUUUAUCAGAAACAUCUACAAAAACACAGACUUUCACAAUCACGACACCUGAUGAAACAUCUACCACUAGUGCAGUAGAAACAUCUACAACAACAGAGACUUCAACAAUCAUAACUCCUGCUGAAAUAUCCAUCACUAGUACACAGGAAACAUCUACAUCAACAGAGACUUCCACAAUCACAACUCCUGAUGAAACAUCCACCACUAGUUUAGCAGAAACAUCUAUAACAACAGAGACUUCCACAAUCACAACUCCAAAUGAAACAUCCACCACUAGUGCAGCAGAAACAUCAACAACAGAGACUUCCACAAUCAUGACUCCAGAUAAAACAUCCACCACUAGUGCAAUAGAAAUAUCUACAAUGUCAGAGACUUCCACAAUCACAACAGCUGAUGAAACAUCCAGCACUAAUGCACCAGAAACAUCUACAAUAACAGAGAUUUCCACAAUGACGACUCCUGAUGAAACAUCCACCACUAGUUUAUCAGAAACAUCUACAUCAACAGAGACUUACACAUUCACGACAACUGAUGAAAUAUCCACCACUAGUUUAGCAGAAACAUCUACAACAACAGAGACUUCCACAAUCACAACAAAACCUGACUCAUUAUAUACAACAUCAACAGGAAUUGCUGCUGCUUCUUCAGCUGAAAUGCCUGCUUUAACAACUACUACAAAUACAAUUCUUGCUAAUGUAGAGCUAAUAAAGAUGGAAUUCAGCUCUUCAGAGCCUUUUAUAGAUGAACUCAAAUAUUCAAGUUCUGAAGCUUUCAAAGACAGGGCUAAACGUGUUAAAGAUGUACUUGAACUCAUCUUCAAAAGCAAGUUUCCUUCAUUCUUAAAAGUUAAUGUCCUGAGAUUCAGACCUGGGUCAGUCAUAACAGAUACAGAAUUAGUCUUCAACAUGAAUAAAUCUGCACCAUCAGCUGAUGAGAUUAAAACCACAUUAAUGGAGAAAUCAAUUGUCAGUGCCCUGAAUAUUAUUGAUGGAACUAUCAUAAUUUAUGCAGAGACUUCCACAAUCACAACUCCUGAUGAAACAUCCACCACUAGUGCAGCAGAAACAUCUACAACAACAGAGACUUCCACAAUCACGACACCUGAUGAAACAUCCACCACUAGUGCACCAGAAACAUCUACAACAACAGAGACUUCCACAAUCACCACUCCUGAUGAAACAUCCACCACUAGUGCAAUAGAAACAUCUACAACAUCAGAGACUUCCACAAUCACAACUCCUGAUGAAACAUCCACCACUAGUUUAGCAGAACCAUCUAUAACAACAGAGACUUCCACAAUCAUGACUCCAGAUAAAACAUCCAUUACUAGUACACCAGAAACUAGUACAACAACAGAGACUUCCACAAUCACGACUCCUGAUGAAACAUCCACCACUAGUGCACCAGAAACAUCUACAACAACAGAGACUUCCACAAUCACGACUCCUGCUGAAACAUCCACCACUAGUUUAGCAGAAACAUCUACAAAAACACAGACUUUCACAAUCACGACACCUGAUGAAACAUCCACCACUAGUAUAUCAGAAACAUCUACAUCAACAGAGACUUACACAAUCAUGACUACUGAUGAAACAUCAACCACUAGCGCACCAGAAACAUCUACAAUGUCAGAGACUUCCACAAUCACGACACCUGAUGAAACAACCACCACUAGUGCACCAGAAACAUCUACAACAACAGAGACUUCCACAAUCAUGACUCCUGCUGAAGCAUCCACCACUAGUGUAAUAGAAAUAUCUACAACAUCAGAGACUUCCACAAUCAUGACUCCUGAUGAAACAUCCACCACUAGUACACCAGAAACAUCUACAUCAACAGAGACUUCCACAAUCAUGACUCCUGCUGAAACAUCCAUCACUACUGCACCAGAAACAUCUACAACAACAGAGACUUCCACAAUCACGACUCCUGCUGAAACAUCAAUUACUAGUACACCAGAAACAUCUACAUCAACAGAGACUUUCACAAUCACGACACCUGAUGAAACAUCCACCACUAGUUUAGCAGAAACAUCUACAACAACAGAGACUUCCACAAUCACAGCUCCUGCUGAAGCAUUUACAACAACAGAGACUUCCACAACCAUGACUCCUGAUGAAAUAUACACCACUAGUGUAGCAGAAACAUCUAAAUCAACAGAGACUUCCACAAUCAUGACUACUGAUGAAGCAUCCACCACUAGUGCACCAGAAACAUCUGCAACAUCAGAGACUUCCAUAAUCAUGACUCCUGAUGAAACAUCAACCACUAGCGCACCAGAAACAUCUACAACAACAGACACUUCCACAAAGACGACUCCUGAUGAAACAUUUACAACAACAGAGACUUCCACAAUCAUGUCUCCUGCUGAAGCAUCAACCACUAUUGCAGCAGAACCAUCAACAACAACAAAGACUUCCACAAUCAUGACUGCUGAUGAAACACCCACCACUAGUGGACCAGAAAUAUCUAGAACAACAGAGACUUCCACAAUCACGACUCCUGCUGAAACAUCUACCACAA
ensembl:lncRNA